AAAUUGAAUAUGUAUUAUAAAAUAUAAAUAUAUAAUAAAAUAUUAAUAUUUAUCGGUUCGGUUCGGUUUAAAACCGAACCAAAAAUUGAAAACCGAAACCGAACCAAAACUUAUCGGUUUUUAAUUUUCGGAACCGAACCGAAAACCGAACCAAUAGAUUCGGGACCGAACCGCACCAAAACGGUUCGGUUCGGUUCGGUUUUGCAUUUCGGUUCGGUUUCUGCUCACCCCUACC
rnacentral:lncRNA from 1 species